AGCAGCCGCCGCGGUAAUACGGAGGGUGCAAGCGUUAAUCGGAAUUACUGGGCGUAAAGCGCACGCAGGCGGUUUGUUAAGUCAGAUGUGAAAUCCCCGGGCUUAACCUGGGAACUGCAUUUGUGACUGGCGAGCUAGAGUAUGGCAGAGGGGGGUAGAAUUCCACGUGUAGCAGUGAAAUGCGUAGAGAUGUGGAGGAAUACCGAUGGCGAAGGCAGCCCCCUGGGCCAAUACUGACGCUCAUGCACGAAAGCGUGGGGAGCAAACAGGAUUAGAUACCCGCGUAGUCCCUGUCUCUUAUAC
rnacentral:rRNA from 1 species